UACAGAGGUCUCAAGCGUUGUUCGGAUUCAUUGGGCGUAAAGGGUGCGUAGGCGGCGCGGUAAGUCGGGUGUGAAAUCUCGGAGCUUAACUUCGAAACUGCAUUCGAUACUGCCGUGCUUGAGGACUGGAGAGGAGACUGGAAUUUACGGUGUAGCGGUGAAAUGCGUAGAUAUCGUAAGGAAGACCAGUGGCGAAGGCGGGUCUCUGGACAGUACCUGACGCUGAGGCACGAAGGUGAGGGGAGCAAACGGG
rnacentral:rRNA from 1 species